rnacentral:rRNA from 1 species
CGUAGGGUGCGAGCGUUAAUCGGAAUUACUGGGCGUAAAGCGUGCGCAGGCGGUUAUAUAAGACAGAUGUGAAAUCCCCGGGCUCAACCUGGGAACUGCAUUUGUGACUGUAUAGCUAGAGUACGGCAGAGGGGGAUGGAAUUCCGCGUGUAGCAGUGAAAUGCGUAGAUAUGCGGAGGAACACCGAUGGCGAAGGCAAUCCCCUGGGCCUGUACUGACGCUCAUGCACGAAAGCGUGGGGAGCAAACAGGAUUAGAUACCCUGGUAGUCCACACCCUAAACGAUGUCAACUGGUUGUUGGGUCUUCACUGACUCAGUAACGAAGCUAACGCGUGAAGUUGACCGCCUGGGGAGUACGGCCGCAAGGUUG